AAUAGAGGGGGUUUCUCAAAAAGGUAGAGAGAAAUCCAAAAAAAAAUGUGAAAAAGAUAGAGAGAAAAAGUGUGUAAGGUAAAACAGUGGAGAUAUUGUUCCAUGUGGUCAAGUUCAUCCUUAGAGCUGUGAGACUCAUUAUUGGCCAUUCAUGUCCAUGCAGAAGUUGAAGUCAACCUUGACCUACCAACACCAAUCAGUGAGCAACAACCAGGCGAGUGUAAAAUUAUAUGUGUGGGCAUGUCAUACUGGACAAGGGCACCCCAUCCUAGUGCUCUGUCACGUGUAGCAGAGUCCACCUCAGGUACUGUGCACCCUCACUUCCCAGCGAGUCAUCAAACAAUACGUGGCUCCUCUUCCACAGCUCCCACUGGCUGUGCGACACAUAGUCAGCAUUGUUACUUAUGUCCACAC
rnacentral:lncRNA from 1 species